GCUAUAAAAGUUUCAAGAUGCAUUCAUAAUAAAAUCUUACAUGGAGCUUUAAUGCUACAAUUUAUAAAAAAUGUAUGUAAAGCAUCAGGUAUCACAAUGAUAUAUGUCGAGCUAUAACUCGAAAACAAAAAACCAUUAUUGGUUUAACUAUUCCAUCCACCUCCUACACAGUCUCAAAGAUGAUAUAAUAAUAUUGAGAUUUGCAAAACCUCACUAUAAGGAACUAUCACAAGGAAACUAUAAAGAAACUUUUAUGAAGUGUGGCAUCCCAAUUGAACAGAAAUCAAGAAAUCAAGUCCAAAGCAUGUUCCUAGAAUACCUAUCAUUGCAAUUUUAACCU
rnacentral:lncRNA from 1 species